rnacentral:rRNA from 1 species
UACGGAGGGUGCAAGCGUUAUCCGGAUUCACUGGGCUUAAAGGGUGCGUAGGUGGGCAGGUAAGUCAGUGGUGAAAUCUCCGGGCUUAACCCGGAAACUGCCAUUGAUACUAUCUGUCUUGAAUACCGUGGAGGUGAGCGGAAUAUGUCAUGUAGCGGUGAAAUGCUUAGAUAUGACAUAGAACACCAAUUGCGAAGGCAGCUCACUACACAAUCAUUGACGCUGAGGCACGAAAGCGUGGGGAGCAAACAGG